rnacentral:rRNA from 1 species
GUUAGGAAUAUUGGACAAUGGGCGCAAGCCUGAUCCAGCCAUGCCGCGUGAGUGAUGAAGGCCUUCGGGUUGUAAAGUUCUUUAGCCGAUGAUUAUAAUGACUGUAGUCGGAAAAUAAGCCCCGGCUAACUUCGUGCCAGCAGCCGCGGUAAUACGAAGGGGGCGAGCGUUAUUCGGAAUCACUGGGCGUAAAGCGUGCGUAGGCGGUUUUGUAAGUUAGGAGUGAAAGCCCAGGGCUCAACCUUGGAAUUGCUCUUAAAACUGCAAGGCUCGAAUCUCGGAGAGGAUAGCGGAAUUUCCAGUGUAGCAGUGAAAUGCGUAGAUAUUGGAAGGAACACCAGUGGCGUAAGCGGCUAUCUGGACGAGUAUUGACGCUGAGGCACGAAAGCGUGGGGAUCAAACAGGAUUAGAAACCCCGGUAGUCC